CUGACCCUCUCCCUCUGCCUCUGCCACUGGCCUGAGUCGUGGCUGGAGCUGCUGGCUGCGCUACACUACCUGAAGCUAUCUGCUGGGACUGAGCCAUCGGAACUGCUCUUGGACACUCUCGAGCCAUAUGUCCCUCCUGACCGCAUCUGAAACAGGCUGUCGUCCCAAACCGACAUACUCCCUUGUGUGGCUUACCACACCUUGCACAAACUGCAUUAUUCGCAC
rnacentral:lncRNA from 1 species